rnacentral:lncRNA from 1 species
UCGCAGGGAAAUGGACUUCUCUGAAUGCAGCAGCUACCAACUCUCGAUGCAAACUGCUGUGUGGAAUAAUUGUCAAAUGCUUGCAUAAACACAUAAAUAAGAUAAAUUUAUUUUCAUUAUUCAUAUUUGGUGCUCUUUCCUUCCACUUAUUUAUGCUUUAAACAACAGUUACAGUAAAUAUAACGAUAAAAAAGUGCCUACAGUGGCCAGGAAGAUGAUCAAGAAGCCCUGAUAUACAGCAAUUCAUGUUUCUUCUUGACAAUCACUAACGAAUCUUAACUGGAGCCAUGUUACGUUCCCAUGUGAGUGAUAAGCAAUGAUUUAUUAUGAAGUGUCAUGAAAUCGGAAUGCCAUACAGUGAGACAUGAGCUAGUGGAAAAUGUUUUCCCUGUUUCCCAACCUCAUUACUCAAAGAUGCAGUGUCCCUUUACCAAGCCUAAUUUAACUGACUUUUUUGAGUACUCUACUCAUUGGCGAUGGAAAUUGGCCAAGGAGAGGAUGUCCAGUGAAGUCCAAUGCCUCAUGCCACAGCUCUAGUGUAGCUGGUGCCAGGGCUGGCCAGCAACCCGGGAACUGUGCGAAUUGGCCAGCAUUCAAAACUAUGAUCCCAGGAAUCAUCUCAACUCCCGGCCAGAGCAGCAAGGAUACUAAUGCACUGUGGGGAAAUGAAACCCACAACAAGAGAAGAAACCCAAAGGGCAACUUUGAUGAUUUUGGACCUUGUAUGAUCCCCAUGUCAUGCCAUCCUACUUGGAACUCCUGUCUUGAUCAAUUAAAACUUGCCCAAUGGUAAAUGAGCCAGCUGAGCCUACAGAAAGAGCCCAGCCUUUAGAACCAGCUCUUCCACGUACCUCCAAAACUGGGUGGUAGAUGGCACCAAUGGCCCCAGUCUUUACCCUUCCUAUCCAUGCUCUUCACCCAUGUCACUUUGUAAUACCCCCUCAUCCUGAAUCUAGGCUCAGCUGCAAGGCUUGCUUCUGCCGAUCAGAUGUUAGCAGAUAUGAUGCCAACAAUGGUUUGAAAAGAUUCCGCGAUGAUUGCACUUGCUUACUCUGUACCUAUGCCAGUGCUUUCACAACAGCCCACACUAGCCUCCUAGAGGAUGAGAGAGAUGUGGAGCAGAGCCAGGUCACUCUGGUUGUCCCAGCCUUGGUACAAGGGAGUCCAAGGUCAGCUCUUCCACUCUUUCUCUACUACCCCCCGCCCCUCUACUACCCUUCUUCCUCUGGGCCCCUUUUUUUCUUGGAUGUGUUGAAUCCUAAAAGGAGGGAUGGGAGGGAAGGAGGACAACCCCUCAUAUUAAUGAAGCAUCUUUUGUCAGCCAGGGCCCCCUGUGGGGCUGGCAUCUAGGGUCUGACUCUCUAGUAGGGUUCCGUGCAAGUCCCAAAUCCUGAUGUAGGAGAUGUGCUCCAUUCCAGAUGACUUCUGAUUCCCCUAAACACUUCCCCUGCCCUCUCGUGGUUCACUCUCCAUGUUCUUGCCACUAAAUGCCUCUUUUCCGUCUAGGGCUGGGUACCAGCAAGCAGCAAGAGAGCUCUUGACUUACUGACAAUUUCCACAUCUUUUUUUCUUACCAAAAGUGUGAGAGUGUAAGGAGUUGCCUGUCCCUCUUUUGCUCUGCCUCCUAUCUCCAAUGUCUUUUGCUCCUUCUCAAUAGUCAUGAGUGUAGACCAGAGAGUCUGCUGCAUAAACGUUGCCCAACAAGAAAUUAGGUGCUCCUCUCCCCUCCUCACCAGAACCUACUCCUUCAAGUGCUUCCUGUAGAGUCACUCACCUGGCUUCUGUGGUCCCCUCGACAGCUUUUCAAUGAAUCCCUCUAGUCUUUUCCUAGAUGGGUUAGUGGCAGGUAAGAAAAAUGGUGAUCAAUGACCUGUUCUACCAUUUAAUAAAUCUCGUGAAAAUAGCAAUUUCUCUACUCCCCCUUUCUAUUUUUCUUUACUUUUUAUUUUGAAAUUAUUUUAGACUUAAAGUAGCAAAAAUAGUAGAGAGAAGCUUAACCCGGCCUCCUGUGAUGUUAACAUCUUACCUAACCGCAAUGCAAUUACCAAAACCAGGAAAAGAACAUUGGCUCAAUAAUAUUCACUAAACUAUAGACCUUACUUGACUAUUACCCUAAUUUCCUUUUGCGGCUCCUAAAUUUUGCUAAUCUAGGCUCUCACAUUGGAUUUAGUUGUUGUGUCUCCUUCUCCUCCCAUCUGUGAAAAAUCCCUCAAUCUUCCCUUGUCCUUUCUGACAUUAACACUGACCACAACCGAUCAGUUGUUUUGUAGAACGUGUCCCAGUUUGGGUUUGCCUAUUAUCUCGUCAUGAUUAGAUUGAAGUUAUGUGCUCUGGGCAAGAACACCAAAAAAAAAGGAACGAUGUGCUUUUCUUGGUGCAUCAUAUCAGAGAUUCCACGAUGUUGAUAUGUCAUUACUGGUGAUGUUAAUUUCAUUAUGUGGUUAAGGUGGCAUGUGGCAGCUUCCUUGAAAAUAUAAAGUGUGCAGCUCCAAUAAUCUUAAUUUUGUGGCAUUAGCCAAAGUGUCACAAAACAAAGAAAUUCCAUUCAAUUUCCUAUUACCCUGUGUGAUUUGGGACAUAUAAUUUAAUGUUUCUCUGGACCACAUUUUCCUCACCUGGAAAAGGAAAACCAAGACAAUCACCUCGCAAGAUUGCUAGAAAGAUUAGUGACUGUAUAAGCACUGUCUUUGGCAG